rnacentral:rRNA from 1 species
UACGGGGGGAGCAAGCGUUGUUCGGAUUUACUGGGCGUAAAGGGCGCGUAGGCGGCCUUCUAAGUCAGACGUGAAAUCCCCCGGCUUAACCUGGGAACUGCGUCUGAUACUGGAGGGCUUGAGUGCGGGAGAGGGAUGUGGAAUUCCAGGUGUAGCGGUGAAAUGCGUAGAUAUCUGGAGGAACACCGGUGGCGAAGGCGGCGAUCCUGGACCGACACUGACGCUGAGGCGCGAAAGCUAGGGUAGCAAACGGG